rnacentral:rRNA from 1 species
CCUAAAAUUAAGCCUAACCCACCCUUAUGAAAACCACUUCCAACUAAACAACAAUAAAACAUUUUAUCAGUUUAGUAAAGGCGAUUAAAAAACUUUCUAGCGCUUUACUUCUAGUACCGCAAGGGAAAAAUGAAAUAGUUUUGAAACAGCCAUUAAGCAACCUAUAGCAGAGACUACCCCUCGUACCUUUUGCAUCAUGGUUUAGCUAGUCUUUUUCAAGCAAAGCGAAACAUCAGUUUGACCCCCCGCAACUAAGCGAGCUACUUCAAAACAGCUCAAUGGAGCCAACCCGUCUCUGUCGCAAAAGAGUGGGACGAUUUUUAAGUAGAGGUGAAAAGCCUACCGAGCUUAGAGAUAGCUGGUUAUUCAAGAAAAGAAUUUUAGUUCUACCUUAAGUUUCUGUAUUAAUCCCAUAAACCACUUAGACUUAAGAGCUAUUCAAAUGAGGCACAGCUUAUUUGAAAAAGGAUACAACCUAUAAAAAAGGGUAAAAAACCCCCCCCCAAAAAUAAGUGGGCCUAAAAGCAGCCACCUUUAAGAAAGCGUUAAAGCUCCUUUUUCUAAGAAAUCUAAUACCCAAACACACCUUCAACCCUUUAUUCCCACUGAAUGAUUCUAUACUUACUAUAGAAGCCCCAAUGCUAAAACUAGUAACAAGAAAUUGACCUUCUCCUAAAUACAAGCAUAAACCAAAAUGGACAAACCAUUGGUUAUUAACGUCAAUUAAAUCAAUAUAAUAACUGUAUCAAGAAAACACUAUUACUAGUUAUUACGUUAACCUUACACAAGUGUAUUUCCGGAAAGAUUUAAAGAGGGGGAAGGAACUCGGCAAAUAAUAACCUCGCCUGUUUACCAAAAACAUCGCCUCUUGAUAAAAUAUAAGAGGUCCAGCCUGCCCAGUGAUAUAAUUAAACGGCCGCGGUACCCUGACCGUGCAAAGGUAGCAUAAUCACUUGUUCUCUAAAUAGGGACUCGUAUCAACGGCAUCACGAGGGUUAUACUGUCUCCCCCCUCUAAUCAGUGAAACUGACCUCCCCGUGAAGAGGCGGGGAUAUUAAUACAAGACGAGAAGACCCCAUGGAGCUUUAAACCCAAUAACAACCUUCACCAAAGUACCUUAAAAAUGAAGAGGCACUGUUUAUUGGUUUUAGGUUGGGGUGACCACGGAGAAAAACUAAACCUCCAUGACGAAUGGACCUUAAACCUAAUCUAAGAGCCACUACUCCAAGAAUCAUUAAUUUGACAUAAUUUGAUCCGGCAACCGAUCAACGAACCAAGUUACCCUGGGGAUAACAGCGCAAUCCAUUUCAAGAGCCCCUAUCGACAAAUGGGUUUACGACCUCCAUGUUGGAUCAGGGUAUCCCAGUGGUGCAGCCGCUACUAAAGGUUUGUUUGUUCAACAAUUAAAAC